rnacentral:rRNA from 11 species
AGUUAUUGCCCAAGUACCCGAAGGUACUAAAUCCUUUGUAAUUUUGGAAGGUAAAGAAGGUCAGGCCUGGUUAGUACAUGGAAGGGAGACCACCAGGGAAGACCAGACGUUGUAAACA